CAGGAUGAACGCUAGCUACAGGCUUAACACAUGCAAGGUCGAGGGGCAGCAUGAGCUAGCUUGCUAAGCUUGAUGGCGACCGGCGCACGGUGAGUAACGCGUAUCCAACUUCCCCUUAGUAGGGCAUAGCCCGGUGAAAAUCGGAUUAAUACCCUAUGUUCUUCACAGCGGACAUCUAACGUGAAGCAAAGGUUCACCGCUAAGGGAUGGGGAUGCGUCUGAUUAGGUAGUCGGCGGGGUAACGGCCCACCGAGCCAUCGAUCAGUAGGGGUUCUGAGAGGAAGGUCCCCCACAUUGGAACUGAGACACGGUCCAAACUCCUACGGGAGGCAGCAGUGAGGAAUAUUGGUCAAUGGUCGAGAGACUGAACCAGCCAAGUAGCGUGCAAGGAUGACGGCCCUAUGGGUUGUAAACUGCUUUUAUGCGGGGAUAAAGUCACCCACGUGUGGGUGUUUGCAGGUACCGCAUGAAUAAGGACCGGCUAAUUCCGUGCCAGCAGCAGC
rnacentral:rRNA from 1 species